CAGCUGUGCACAUAGUCACCAACCACUGCAGAUCCUGUUGCUAAUGAGCUGCUCUGCUUUGUUUACUAUGCUACAGAGACAAACUAUUUAGUUCAAACUCAGAGAGGGAGGGUUGGUCUUUUCAGCUCCAGAGUUCUGGUUGUAAAAGCGCGAGUUUUGUUUUCCCAUAGUGUGGCCUACAGCAGCCAUGGGGACACACGUGCCCCUGCACUCAGGGUCUUCAAUCAGGACUGAACUUCAGACACCAGAUGGCACAUGCCUGUAAUCUCAGCACUUUGGGAGACCGAGGCAGGCGGAUCACUUGAGGUCAGGAGGUCGAGACCAGCUUGGCCAACAUGUGAUUUAAAAUACGUACCCAUCAUGGGAUACAUGUUGACUGAAUCCACCUGCAUUGGGAUGACUGCUGCAGAAGGCAUUGACUCUGUUUCAUCCCUGCACUUAUUUGGGCUCAUGUGCAAUGCUGAGCUACCCAGAGGACAUCUGUGUGAGUUCCAGCAGCAGCAGCCAAUCAGCUAAUCAUCCUUUUUCCAGUGCCAGGCGAGGUUGACUGGGACCCUGAGUUUGGUUCUACCGUUUGGAAAUAACACAGAGGAUUACUUCUUGGGGUCUCUCAGCCAACCAAAGUCACUUCUUAAGACUGGGCCUUUCUACAGAGGAAUCUUAGGAGCAGAGGCUCUUAGAUCAGAUGAGAAAAGGGUGAUGGAGAAUCUGGUUUUCCUUCUCAGAUCGUUCCUUUCAAGUCCCAUCCUAAAGACUUCACCAACGCUGAGGUCCAACUAUCCUGAUCAGAAUUCAAACCAGGUUCCCAUGAGCACUGGCUCAUCCACAAAGUUAGUAGGCUUGGUAAUGGCCAGGCCUUGAAUUCCCAGAGUCUUGGAUUGACCCAACCAGGGAGUAGUUGGAGAGACACAUGACAAGGGCCAUGCCCUGGAAAGCUGGGCCAGAGCACCUAUCAGUUGAUCACAAUUGCAGGGCAUGAGGUGAGAGAGAAAAGUAACAGAGUAACCAAGAAGUCGCCCUCCUAAGUUGGAGCAAGGUACCAAAUGACCUAAAGUAUUGGGGUGGCAGGACUGACUGUGCAGGGCACCCUGUCUGGGGCUGAUGGACUGGACAUAGAAGGAUGAGGAAGUUGUCAGCACCAGAGAGUUGAUGCUUAUCUCCAGGAGAUCAGCUGGGUGGUACGGGGCUGACCAUAGAGUUAGGACGGGUGCUUCCUCACAGGGUAGCAUGGAAGAGAAGGUUUUAUUGCAGUAAGAAAUUUAAUCCCCUGGCAAAAGCAGUAAUACCAGGAUGACUUAAACUAGCUGGUAAAGUGGGAAGGAGGGAAGGGAGAUGGAAGGGGUGAGGACAGACGGAUCAGAAUUUGUGCUUUGGGCAAGUCAUACAUACAUACGAUUUUGUGGAUUUUGUCAUGGUUAGAGGCAGGAGGGCCGUGAUCAGCAGGUUUUCACUAUUACGCGGGUCCCUAGACACAUUCUUGACUUUCAAAAUUUCAUCACAGAUAUGUGAAAGAUUCUGUGGAAGAAUAUAAUAGCAAAAAAAAGAA
rnacentral:lncRNA from 10 species